AUUGAACGCUGGCGGCAGGCCUAACACAUGCAAGUCGCACGAGUGGCGGACGGGUGAGUAAUGUAUGGGAAUCUGCCCGAUAGAGGGGGAUAACUACUGGAAACGGUAGCUAAUACCGCAUACUAUCGGAUGUACCCAUAUGGGAUUAGCUAGUAGGUGGGGUAAAGGCUCACCUAGGCGACGAUCUCUAGCUGGUCUGAGAGGAUGACCAGCCACACUGGAACUGAGACACGGCCCAGACUCUUACGGGAGGCAGCAGGGGGGAAUAUUGCACAAUGGGCGCAAGCCUGAUGCAGCCAUGCCGCGUGUAUGAAGAAGGCCUUAGGGUUGUAAAGUACUUUCAGCGGGGAGGCGUUACCCGCAGAAGAAGCACCGGCUAACUCCGUGCCAGCAGCCGCGGUAAUAC
rnacentral:rRNA from 1 species